rfam:Salmo salar isolate Sally breed double haploid chromosome ssa03, whole genome shotgun sequence.
CACACAUUAAUGAAGGCCUCACAGUAAACCACAUUUUGGGAUGUGAGACCUGAUGUCCCUGUGUG